AGCUCAAAUUCAGAAAACCGUGCUGCACCUGGGUGACCUGUUACAGGAGUGUCUCCUCUUUUCAGGGGUACCAGCUGAUACUAAACAUACUGCCACUGAGAGCCCUGACCCGAGUACUGAGAGGGGCAGGCAGGCCGAGCUGACCUCCCGGCCGGGCGCCGUGGUCUCGCAGGGAAAGGUGGUCAUCGCAGUCGUCGUCGCCCUGUGUGUGGUGUUGCACCUGAUUGGAGGGGCUCUGUACCUGUGGAAGAGGCAGAAACGCCAGGACUCGGGUAAUUCUGACCCCCCCCAGAGUCACUCCUGCUCCCCCCUCAUGGACUUUGCAGCGCAAUGGCGACACCUUGUGGCCGUCAAGUGGUACUGCUCACCUACCGGCACUGCAGCUCAGAGUUGAGCACAAG
rnacentral:lncRNA from 1 species